UCUCCUCGUCUGUCUUUAGAUAUGACUCAGCCAUUUAAAGGCGACCACUGGUCAAACUACAAUCUCCAUAGGAAAAGCUGAUGACUCCUAAAGCUAACGUUGGGUAAUAUAUUUUAUAAACUGGGUGGUUUGAGCCCUGAAUGCUGAUUGGCUGAACGGCGUAGUAUAUCAGACCGUGUAAGAUAAUAACUCGCUGCUCUAAACUCCUCUUCUUCUUAUAUAAACCUCGCCUGGUUCCCCACAGUCUCUCCUUACUAUUUCACUCGCUAUGGCUUCUCAGCGGACUGCAAAGUGGUGGCGUUCCCUGGGGACAACCCAGUAGCAAAACCUCUGUUAUAAACGUCUCAUCAGCGGUGUCUCCAGUUCCAGGAAGUCGAGUGCUGGCCACCGGAGGGGCUUCUUCUAACAAGGACUUUCUGCAGGUGCUAUCUGACAUAUUCAAUGCUCCUGUGAACACCAUUGACGUGGCCAACUCUGCCUGGCUAGGCUGUCAUGAUGGAAUGAUUGUGAUGACUGUGGACUACAGGACUACAGGACUACAGGACUACAGGAAAAGGAGGAUGGAGCACGCCACCAUUCUCAUCCACGGGGCUGUAGUGGAGCAGGUUGAGAGCUUCAAGUUCCUUGGUGUCC